CAGUCUUAUGGCUGAGUAGUGUUUGGGUGAGGAUGGCUCAUCACUGCCUUCUCUACUACUCAGUUUCCUGCCCUCAAUCUUCCCUCAUUCAAGUCCUGUCCCAUCUGACAUUUUCUCCAUGAGUGGAAGUGUGUACAAAGCAGUGUCGCCUAGGGGAAAGCUAUCGCGGCUCAGUCACGUGCCUAAGGCAUGACCUGGGUCGAUCAUCGCAUCAGACCGCAAUGUCCAGUGGUUGAUCACUUCCAACUGUUUGACCCCUCGACCUGCUCAUUGUUGCACUCAUUUCCUCUUUGUCUCCUGUGAUAAAAAAGGCGGUGGAGAAGUACUCGACAUUGAAAUGAAGCAUAUCUGCAAAAAGAUUCUCUUUCCAAAUGUUUUGCAUUAGGUAUUUUAAAGUAACGUCAAUGGUCAUGAAUGAUCAUCACUCAUUUACCUGUUGGCAGAUGCUUAAUUAAGUCUCCCGCUAAUAGUUAUGCGGACAAACCCGGAAAGCCCAAUAUUCUCUCAAAAGAAAUACACAAUAUUCGGUCCCACCGGGCUUUCCAUCAAAAUACGUUUCAACGUAUAAAAACGUCAAAUAAAGCAAUAAUUAAACA